CCUACGGGAGGCAGCAGUGGGGAAUAUUGCACAAUGGGGGAAACCCUGCUGCAGCAACGCAGCGUGAAGGAAGACGGUUUUCGGAUUGUAAACUUCUGUUCUUAGUGAAGAAUACUGACGGUAGCUAAGGAGCAAGCAACGGCUAACUACGUGCCAGAAGACGCGGUAAUACGUAGGUGGCAAGCGUUGUCCGGAAUUACUGGGUGUAAAGGGAGCGCAGGCGGGGAGCCAAGUCAGCUGUGAAAACUACGGGCUUAACUUGUAUACUUCAGUUGAGACUGGUUUUCUUGAGUAAAGUAGAGGUUGGCGGAAUUCCGAGUGUAGCGGUGAAAUGCGUAGAUAUUCUGAGGAACACCGAUGGCGAAGGCGGCCAACUGGGCGUUAACUGACGCUGAUGCUCGAAAGUGUGGGGAGCAAACAGGAUUAGAUACCCUUGUAGUC
rnacentral:rRNA from 1 species